rnacentral:misc_RNA from 1 species
AACGCAAAUUGCACUUUCUGGUAUUCCGGAAAGUAUGCCUGUUUGAGGGUCAGUUAAAUAAAAAUCGGUGUUGUUGCUGCCUUUCGUGGCGACGCGUCGGAAUUGGGUCGUCUUAUCCUUCGGUUAAGUGACUUAAAAUUUUUGUAUGAUUUUCGAACGUAUUUAAAUUGCUUACGUACGUUUGAGAUAUCGAAUGUUUAUUAGGUUCGGUCAUCCUCAUGAUUCAAGCCUAUAAUUUUUCAUUAAAUGACCUCAAAUCAGGUAAGAAUACCCGCUGAACUUAA